rnacentral:rRNA from 1 species
CCUACGGGUGGCAGCAGUGAGGAAUAUUGGUCAAUGGGCGGAAGCCUGAACCAGCCAAGUAGCGUGCGGGAUGAGGCCCUACGGGUCGUAAACCGCUUUUGCACGGGGAUAACACCCUCCACUUGUGGAGGUCUGCAGGUACCGUGCGAAUAAGGGCCGGCUAAUUCCGUGCCAGCAGCCGCGGUAAUACGGAAGGCCCGAGCGUUAUCCGGCUUCAUUGGGGGUAAGGGGGGCGGGGGCGGGCGUCAAGGUCAGCUGUAAAAUCGCGCGGCUCAACCGCGAACCGCAGUUGAAACUGGACGCCUUGAGUUCACAACGGGCAGGCGGAAGUCGUGGUGUAGCGGUGAAAUGCAUAGAUAUCACGAGGAACCCCGAUUGCGAAGGCAGGUUGCUGCAGCGGAACUGACGCUGAUGCUCGAAAGCGCGGGUAUCGAACAGGAUUAGAUACCCUAGUAGUC